AAUGAGCGGGAUUCAGGGCACCAGGACCUACCCAGGCGCGGGGGACACCUCUGACCUUAAGUACCCCUUGGGAACCAGGCUCAGGGAAGCUCUCACCGAGGUUCGGUUCCAUCAGCUCUUCGGGGGCGAAGAGCAGGAACCGGAGCUACCUGCAGAGCGCCGCUUUCCCCGGCUCUUCGGGCUGUGGAGGCUGCGGGCUCGCGCUUGUUCCGGGACGGGGGCGUGGCGCCUGCUGCUGGCUCGGCUGCCCCCGCUGCACUGGCUGCCCCAUUACCGCUGGCGGGCCUGGCUGCUCGGAGAUGCGGUGGCCGGAGUGACCGUGGGCAUCGUGCACGUGCCCCAGGGCAUGGCCUUUGCUCUCCUGGCCUCCGUGCCCCCGGUGUUUGGACUCUACACUUCUUUCUUCCCCGUCCUCAUCUACAGCUUGCUGGGUACUGGGAGACACCUGUCCACAGGAACUUUCGCCAUACUCAGCCUCAUGACAGGCUCGGCCGUUGAGCGGCUGGUGCCAGAACCCCUUGUGGGGAACCUGAGCGGAAUCGAGAAGGAGCAGUUGGACGCUCAGCGGGUUGGGGUAGCCGCAGCCGUGGCCUUCGGGAGCGGGGCGCUGAUGCUGGGGAUGUUCGUGCUGCAACUCGGCGUCCUGUCCACCUUUUUGUCCGAGCCUGUGGUCAAGGCGCUGACCAGCGGGGUCGCGCUGCACGUGCUCGUGUCCCAGCUGCCGAGCCUCUUGGGGUUGUCCCUCCCGCGCCAGAUCGGCUGCUUCUCUCUCUUCAAGACGCUGGCCGCCGUGCUGACUGCGCUGCCCCGGAGCAGUCCGGCCGAACUGACCAUCUCGGCGCUCAGCCUGGCGCUGCUCGUGCCGGUCAAGGAAUUGAACGUGAGAUUCCGAGACCGGUUACCCACGCCGAUCCCGGGGGAAGUCGUCAUGGUGCUUCUGGCCUCCAUGCUCUGCUUUGCCUCUUCUCUGGACACAAGAUACCAUGUCCAGAUAGUGGGGUUGUUGCCUGGAGGCACCCAACUCCUCCUCACCAUGGAUCCCUCCCUCUCCAGAUUUCCCCAACCCCUCCUACCCAACCUGGCUGAGCUGCCCAGGAUUCUGGCUGACUCGCUGCCCAUCGCACUGGUUACUUUUGCGGUGUCUGCCUCCCUGGCCUCCAUCUAUGCAGACAAGUAUAGCUACACUAUUGACUCCAACCAGGAGCUCCUGGCACAUGGUGCCUCCAACCUCAUCUCCUCCCUCUUCUCUUGCUUUCCCAACUCGGCUACGCUGGCCACCACCAGUCUACUGGUGGAUGCUGGUGGGAAAACACAGCUGGCAGGCCUCUUCUCCUGCAUAGUGGUCCUGUCGGUGCUGCUGUGGCUGGGGCCCUUCUUUUACUAUCUGCCCAAGGCUGUCCUGGCUUGCAUCAACAUCUCCAGCAUGCGCCAGAUGUUCUUCCAGAUGCAGGAACUUCCACAACUAUGGCACAUCAGUCGUGUGGACUUUGCUGUGUGGAUGGUCACCUGGGUGGCUGUAGUGACCCUGAAUGUGGAUUUGGGCCUGGCUGUGGGUGUAGUCUUCUCCAUGAUGACUGUGGUCUGCCGCACCCGGAGGGUGCAGUGCCUGGCACUUGGACAGGCUGAGGGAACAGAGCUCUACAGGCCACUCAGAGGAAGCCACAAGCUCCUCCAGGUCCCGGGGCUCUGCAUCCUGAGCUAUCCAACACCGCUGUACUUUGGGACCCGUGGGCAGUUUCGCCGCAACCUGGAGUGGCACCUGGGGCUUGGAGAAGAAAAGGAGACUUCAAAGCCAGAUGGCCCAACUGUUGCAGUUGCUGAGCCUGUCAGGGUGGUGGUCCUAGACUUCAGUGGUGUCACCUUUGCAGAUGCUGCUGGGGCCAGAGAAGUGGUGCAGCUGGCCAGCCGAUGUCGAGAUGCUAGGAUCCGCCUCCUCCUGGCUCAGUGUAAUGGGUGACCCCAGAUCAGCUGUUUGUGAGUGUGCAGGAUGCAGCUGCUUAUGCCCUGGGGAGCCUGGUAAGGGGCAGUAGCACCAGGAGCGAGAGCCGGGAAGCACUGGGCUGCGGCAAGUGAGGCAGGGGAACUCACUGACCCAAAGAUUUGCACAGUGUGGGUCUGACCUCAUCAUGUGGAGUGCAGAGGGCCCCGAUGACAUGUGUGUGAUGAGGACCAUGACCUUGAGCUCCCUUACCUAACGUAACUAAUAAAAUGAAGCUGAGAGCUUUGGAAUCCAUGAAGUGAGUCUAGGUGUUUGCACAGGGACUCUGGUGCUCCGUCUUUUGUGCCCACAGCAUUGCAGAGACACAACUAAGAAUGGCUUUCACCAUGUGUUCACCGGCCCUCACCCCAGCCCCACUGCCGCAAGUUAUCUCUGUGGGGGUGGGCCUGGAGCAGGCCAUCACUGGGAGGUCAUGCACUGCAGCCGGUGUUUGAAGAAGAGC